rnacentral:tRNA from 1 species
UUAAUUGAAACCAAAAAGAGGUAAAUCACUGUUAAUGAUUUUAAUGGGAAAUUCCCCAAUUAAA